GAGGUGAGAGAAAAACAACAGGCUGUUACUUGCUCACCUGAAUACGAGGAUUUCUUCAUGCCGUCGCUUCGAGCUGUGACAUAGGAGCUGGGUGCUUUUGACAUCAUUAGGCACAAUUUACGGAGGAGAAACAAUAGCACAAUGACUUGCCCCACCUUGUACCCCAAGGGCAAAGUCAAGGGUAGAACCCACUCCCAAACACUAACCCCACUGCUCUGCUUUUGCCUGCAUCUUUCUGAUGGACACAGCUACUCUUAAUACUCAACAUUCACAGGGCUAUACCUCAUAGGAGAUCAAAAUACAAUUUUCUGUUCUUCUCACAUAUGGGUAUAUGUGCACAUGUCCAUGAUUAAGUGUGUGGUUACAUGUGCACAUGUGUGCAAUUAAGUGUACGGCACCACAUGUGUGUGUGAUUAUGUGUGCAAGGUGUACUGUGCCUUCAUGGGGCUGCUGGUGAGCAGCAUUUUCAGAGCCAUGGCUGGGGUACAGCCAUCUGAUCAGCUUGACUGCACAAAUACAAACAGCAAAUUGUGGAGCAGGCUUUUCUACUGCAGGGCCAAACAAACACGAUGAGACACAAAUUGGCUGAA